rnacentral:lncRNA from 1 species
UGUUGCGUGUCAGUCGUCCGUGAAUAGCGCGGUGCUAGAAUACCUGCUUUGCAUAAGGUAUCGGACGCAGAUGUUGUGAAAUUUCGUAGUUUAAACAACGUGUAUUACAUACAUUUUCCAAAUCAGCCAGCCGUAUAUGGAUUAAGUUCAAAUACCCCUCACAUAUGGAUUGUAUUGCAUAUACGUAACGUGGUCCGUGCUGUAAGGUUUGCGGCUGUAUCUCUUCGUAUCAGUUGCAUCCAGCCAUUGGAGAUGUAAAGCUGUUGGCUGUGGUAUAAAUUUAAUUUACUAGAGUACUGGAUGAUAAAAGUUCAUUUAGAGGGGAUUUGGCUAAGUUAAAAAAAAAAAUAAAAUUAUUGUGCUAUGCUAAAAGUAUGGCCAAGCUAUGUCAUACCAUGGCCAUACCUUAGGUUAAAAGUUAUAUUUGAUUCAUUUUUACAGGUUGUGUUGCAUAGACACAUUGUGUUUCAUAAUGUAUGGUUCCAGUUGUAUCGAAUGCUAUUAGUCACAUUCGGACGCUUGAUAUGUAAUGUUGUUCGUUUUUGAUGAAAUUCACCCAGUAGAAAAUAUUGCAUUUUGGAGGCUCAACCAACUGGAUUUUGAUAACACUUACUCUGAAUAUGAAAUUGGGAAGGGAAGGGGAUAGUAAAAUUUCCAGAGUGGGGUCAUCCAUUGUUACAGACUAUAAUUUAUCAAGGUGUCAUGGAAAUAAAUACUGCCGUGUUCAGUGAGGUCUUAAAUGGGUGACAACUCAUAUAAUACAGAAUGAGUCUCGCCUAAAUGAAGAAAAAAUAAGAAACAAAGAUGAGAAGAGCUGGAUCUUCAACAAAAGCCUACAGAUUUGUUUCUCCAUCCACAAAUUGAAACUCUGUCAUCCAUUUAAAUCAAUGACACACUGAUGCAUGCUUGUUUCCUUGAGUACGGUGAGUCUGUGAAGAGACCAGUGAAUGCUGCUUUGUUCGAGGAAAGAGCAAGCACAAUAACUGGAAAAAAAACUACAGAGAGAUAGGAAAAGAGUACACAGUGAUUUACCUUGACAAGUUAUUCCAAAAAGAUCCACAGAUUUGAUCCGUUUUAGCUCAGCAAGCUGGGCUUCAACCACUUCUGCUUCAAUAUACAGAUGUAGCCAAAACGCUUCGGACAACCUAGCGUGACUGCAAAGAUCUGCGGGACCUUCACAAAAUCACAACCAAUAAAAAACGUCACCAAAUAAGAAGAUGCAUGUUGUGGUAACAACGAACAGCACCUAAUAGUUCCAGGAUACCGAAACGCUCUACUGUGUUUUCGACAUACAGCUUCGGUGAAGUUAGAAGGGGAAAACAUAUCAGUCAGCCAUAGCUAAAUUCCGUAAAUUCGAAAAUAGAAUAAUGCUUGCUGAAAUCGUUUCGCCGACCUCUACCAGAUGCCAGAGUAACCGCGUUUAGUUAAGAGCAGUAUCUCGAGCUGUUCUGGCCUUGCAUCGUGCGUUUUGUUUUGGUUACCUCUAGUAUGAUGGAAUUAUGUUAUGAUAUUUGAAGUUCUUUUUCUUACAGAAAGAUAAGAAGCAGUGGAAACAGUGAUCAGAAAUAUUUGAGUGCUGGCAAGCUCAUUUUUAAAGGAGAAAAAAUGAGGCAUAGAAGAAGAAACAUUGAUCAAUUUCCUGGAAAGUUGUAAUUUUAGUCUUUAUUCUUCUGUAUGAAUAUCUUCCAUCUCUCACAGUGGUUUUUUAUGCCAUGACAAUAUCACUCCAAAAGCAAUACCAUUUGUGGUGUGAUGGCAUUAGCACUCACUGUACACAUGGAUUUCAGAAGUUCUCCGGACCUUGCGUCAGCCGUAAAAGUUUUGGAGGUAUUGGUCAUUGGAGAUAAUGAGUUUUAAGAUAGUAUCAACAACAGUGCAAAGGUACCUUGAUGGCACAUCCUCUUUAAGUGAUAUUCUGUUGGUGAACCUUCUGCUGACUAGCGCACAAGCAAAUGAUCCUUUAUCCUUAUUCACCUCAUUACCUUGAAUAUUCUACCGGCCCUAUUGUUGGGCUAUUGGCACAUUUUUUUUUGAACCUGCCUGUUUACUGGAACUGGCAGGAUUUGCUGAUAUAUUUGAUUUCAUGGUAUUAUUCAUUAUCUAUUCGAAAUCACAUAUCGUUAAGCCAUUUCUGCUUCAGGCGAUGCGUUUCACACGCAUGAAUUGUCCAGUUGCGUUUAACAUCAGUCGAUUUAUGGGACUAUCGAUGAGAACAUUAGCGACAGUGAAUGUAAUUGCAGUCCGACAUUUGCUGCUGAUUCUUCGCGAGUCCCCAGUCAGUUGCCGUGGACUUGUGUCAGUUAUACUGAAGCCAGAUGUGGACAGACCACAAUCUCGUUUUGAAUAUUUUUGCCACGCUGCGUCUGUUACGUUUUUAACGUCCAUCCCUCGUUUCUUCAUCGAUGAACGAACAAUUGAUUUCAACAACGACAGCAAUUUUGAAGGAUCAGCAGCAGCAUGCGACUCGACAGCAAAAAGAGCCAAUUGCGAUCCAGCACUCGCAUCUUCAAACAGCAGACGAUGGUCAACUACACCAACGAACUAGAGAUUCGAUCGUACUGACGUGAUUCUGGCAAUGGCGGCCCCAAACAGGAUGACCCUUCCCCCGUCAGCAACAACUUCGCGCUCAGCAGGCGUUAAUUCGCCACAAGUCCAGCUCCAGCAGCAGCAGCAACAACAACAAUAAGCAAAUGGAAGUAUAGACCGACUCCUGAAAACCACCACCCCCACCAAUUUCCAAUCAGACUCUGGCUGAAGAUGCCGCUUGGACGCUCAACUGAUUGCCCAAUUCCGAACCAAAACGCAAGCCUCCCCGCUGCAUUUGACCCAUGGCAAACAACAACGUAUAGAGGGCUCCAGCAAGGAUACCACUCCGCUUCGUCGUGGAACCACACCUGCAUGAAGCCUCACCUGAGACGAGCUGAAAGGGCCCACAAAACAAGGGCGAAAGAAACGAAAGAAGAAAGUAGAAUGGUUUCUGAUACUGUUUACUAGGACGUUGUGAAAGCAACGCUGGAUGUGGCGGUAGCGAUCUCUGUCUGUGCAGCGACAACCAACAAAUUCAGGUGUAACGAGACCCCGCAGUCUUUCAAGACCAGCUAGAUCAAGCGAGGAAGAUCGUUGUUAGAACAGCAGUGACGUCAGUCGCUAAUCAUCUCGAUCUUAUGGCGACAGUCGCCAUUGAUAUCCCUCCAGCAACAGCAACAACAUCGUCGCCACCAGUUAAGGCUUUAAUUCACCACAUUUCAAUCACCUGCAUCCGAGUUUGAACCAAUUUGAUGACGCCGCUCAAUAUUCGCAUCCGCCGCCCAUCCACACGGCUCAAUUCCGAAAAAAAUUCAGAGACGGCUCUGCCAACUAAAAAUGUUUUCGCGUUAAAUGUCGAUUGCGACGUGCAUUUGUCUAUGUUUCGGUGGGCACUGUUCGGCUUUGAUAAAUAUGGCGGAUCUUGUUUUUCUGUUUGUUUUGUUCUUUUUUGUAGAAAAUUCCUAGUAGUUCGUCUGUGUCUUUUGUGUGUGGCAAAUACACUACUUGUUCUGAACUGAAA